AAAAUUAAUAAAAAUAGACGUAUUGCAGGAGCGAGUUACAAGAAAGGAUUUCAUCGAUUUUCUUAAAUGGAAAAGUUUUAAAGGAUGAGGUAACGCUGAGCCAAGAAGCAGGAGAUUAAAUUUACCUAGUUUAAAAUUAGAGGAUACAAGAAGAAAAGAUUUUGAGUUAAUUUUCGCACGGCUGAGAAAUAACACGCAGAAUCUUCCUGGCAAUGACUAAAUCCUGAAGUCUCACCAUCCAAUUAGGCACCCGUCAUCCUGACCAGGGGUCAGACAGAGGAAGAGGAAAAAGGUGGCUUGCUUUGUGUCAGUGCUGGGAGCUAGCCCGUAACAACUCCUCUUCAAUGCUUAGAAGCCCACACUGCUGUCUCCCACAGCACCUGGAAAAAGUGUGAUGAAGGAAGAGGAACUGGAAAGAUGAGGCAAAUGAGGCAAACAGACAUUAAGAAAACGUGGCCAGUGCCUUCUUGUUGUGACGUGGCUGAGGCAGAAUUCAGAGCCAGGCCUUCAGCGUGCAGCCACCACCUGCCCUGUGCAGUCGGGCCAAAGAAGCACGGGAGUUACAUGCAGCUGAUACCUUGUUUCAGCCCUUUCGAGAAGCAAGUAAAAGUCCAAAACAUCCUUGAGAGUCCCAUGUGAGUGGGCAGCCCUCCUCCGUCUUAUGGCUGUGCCAUCUGUGUACACGGCCUCCAGGGAUAGAAGAAGCACCGAACUUCCUUGACCCGCCUGAGACAUGGAUCCCUUGGCUCCCCAUGGGAUCCAGGAGCCGGAUUCCAGGAGCACUCUUUACGCCCAACAGCAAGUCACUCAUUAAGGAAGAUGUUCACCCUGAGGACAGGCUCUCAUGUGCACCUUGCAGUACAUCCACGUUUCCUUAACCGUUCCCUUCCGCUGAAACAAAAACACAUCAAAAUGCAAUUAGGUGAGACAGCUGAAAAGCAACUGUGGCAGCAGAAUUCCAAGAUGGCCCCAAGUCUCCUGCCCUCAGUGUACGUGCCUUGUAUAAUCCCCUCCCCCGAGUGUGGGUGGGGCUGUGAAUAUCAUGGGAUAUUACUCCCAUCAUUAUGUUAUGUUAUAUGGCAAAAGAGAUGUUGCAGAUGUAGUUAAGGCCCCAUAUCAGUUGAUUUUGACUGAAUCAAAAGGGAAACGAUCCUGGCUGGGAGUGAGCUAGUCUGGUGAGGCCUUGCAAGAGAGGAGUGGCAGCCCUAUUCUCCUGGCCUUGAAGAAGGAAGCUACCCUGUUGGGAGAGGAGGGAGCCAUGUGGCCAGGACCUGAGGGUGGUCUCUAGGAGCUAAGAACUAAGAGCCAUCCCUGGCUGACAGUUGGCAAGAAACCAGGGGCCUCAGGAGUUCAGCUGCAAGAAAUGAAGUCUGCCAACCACCAGUGAGCUGGGAAGAGGGCUCUACACCUCUGAGGAGAUAGCAGCCCUGGCUUACACCUUGAUUGCAGCCUGGUGAUGUACUGAGCAAAGGACCCAGCUAACCCAUGCCCGGACUCCUGACACCUGGGCAUUAAGAAAGAAUAAAUUUGUGUUGGUUUAAGUCACUAAGUUUGUGGUCAUUCAUUACACUGUAAUAGAAAACUAAACAGCAACGUCAACAACUGCCAAAAGAAUCUAUGGAAUAAAAUCAAGAAAAAGUGAAGAUGAGCAAGUGUUUUCAAAAGAAGAAAAAGAUUCUUCAACUAGAAGUCAGAAUUGCAGUUAGCUUUGUGGAGAGAUACUGGGAAGGGCAGGAGAAAACCUUCUGGAGUGCUGGCGGUUGUCUACACCUUGCUGUGGUCACUUGAUCUGG